rnacentral:rRNA from 1 species
GAUGAACGCUGGCGGCGUGCUUAACACAUGCAAGUCGAGCGAAGCAGUUAAGUUGAUUUCUUCGGAUUGAUUCUUAACUGACUGAGCGGCGGACGGGUGAGUAACGCGUGGGUGACCUGCCCCAUACCGGGGGAUAACAGCUGGAAACGGCUGCUAAUACCGCAUAAGCGCACAGAGCUGCAUGGCUCGGUGUGAAAAACUCCGGUGGUAUGGGAUGGGCCCGCGUCUGAUUAGGCAGUUGGCGGGGUAACGGCCCACCAAACCGACGAUCAGUAGCCGGCCUGAGAGGGCGACCGGCCACAUUGGGACUGAGACACGGCCCAAACUCCUACGGGAGGCAGCAGUGGGGAAUAUUGCACAAUGGGGGAAACCCUGAUGCAGCGACGCCGCGUGAGCGAAGAAGUAUUUCGGUAUGUAAAGCUCUAUCAGCAGGGAAGAUAAUGACGGUA